rnacentral:rRNA from 1 species
UACGGGGGGGGGCAAGCGUUGUUCGGAAUUACUGGGCGUAGAGGGCGCGUAGGCGGCCUGCUAAGUCGAACGUGAAAUCCCUGGGCUCAACCCAGGAACUGCGUCCGAUACUGGUUGGCUUGAAUCCGGGAGAGGGAUGCGGAAUUCCAGGUGUAGCGGUGAAAUGCGUAGAUAUCUGGAGGAACACCGGUGGCGAAGGCGGCAUCCUGGACCGGCAUUGACGCUGAGGCGCGAAAGCCAGGGGAGCAAACGGG